rnacentral:ncRNA from 1 species
CCUCCGGACUGUUAUACAACCUGAGUAGCAAGUGCGAAAAGGAACAGGAUGAACGAGGAA